UCCCUGGUGGCUCAGAUGGUAAAGCAUCUGCCUGCAAUGCAGGAAACCUGGGUUCGAUCCCUGGGUUGGGAA
rnacentral:tRNA from 1 species